CGUGGGCUGUGUGGAUUUACUUCCCACCACGUGGGCUGCACCUGGGCCAGCACCCAACCUGGAGAGAGACUCUAAGAAAGCUGGAUGCUUUCUGUUAAGCUCCCCCAGGUCUGCAUAAUGUGGAUAAUAAAUCUUCUGGACCUCGAGAUCUCUGAAGCUGUUUUGGGGUUCUGCUGAAUUGUGUCUCUGGUUACUGUUGGACAUUCAUACACCAGUGCAGUCCUCAUCUAUGGCUAUGUUGAUAAAAGAAAAAUUAAGGCUGGACAGGACUCCUAGAGCUGGAUGCUGUCCAUAAGCACAACAAAAGGAUGUUCCAUCUCCCCAAACAAUGAGAUUCCAUGUGAUUGCAUUUCAGAGAAUGCUGCAUAACCCAGCCAGCAAGGGCAGCCUCAGUCCAGAUCUUCUCAGGGCUCAGACUAGCAUCAAACUCUGAUAUUCACAGAGGUUUAUCAUUGAGGUGGUGCAGCUAAGACAGAGACUUCAGCACAAACAUCAGCUUAUAAGAAGGGAGGAACCCUUGAGGACAGUAGAAAAUAUUUCAGAGGUUUGUUAGGCACAUUUAUCACUUUCCUCUGAUGCUAAUGAAGCCCAACAGGGAAGAUGCAGUGACGGAGGGGAGACCUAACAUGGAUCCUCAAACAAACAGGAAACAGGCUGAGGAAUUCCGAGC